rnacentral:misc_RNA from 1 species
GAAAUGCGAUACCUGGUGUGAAUUGCAGAAUCCCGCGAACCAUCGAGUCUUUGAACGCAAGUUGUGCCCGAGGCCACUUGGCCGAGGGCACGCCUGCCUCGGCGUCACGCCAAACACGCUCCCACCUCUCAUCGGGUGGUGGGAUGCGGCAUGUGGCUCCCCAUCUCGCAAGGGGCGGUGGGCCGAAGAUGCGGCUGCCGGCGUAUCAUGUUGGACACAGCGCGUGGUGGGCGAACUCGUUUUACUUACCGCAGUGCAUCCGGCCCGUAGCUGACGUGAUGGCCCUAAGGACCCAAAGAAUGGAGCGCAUGAUGCUCUGACCGCGACCCCAGGUCAGGCGGGACUACCCGCUGAAUUUAA